rnacentral:rRNA from 1 species
UACGGGGGGGGCAAGCGUUGUUCGGAAUUACUGGGCGUAAAGGGUUUGUAGGUGGCUUGUUAAGUCAGACGUGAAAUCCCUCAGCUUAACUGGGGAACUGCGUCUGAUACUGGCGAGCUUGAGUGCAGGAGAGGAACGCGGAAUUCCAGGUGUAGCGGUGAAAUGCGUAGAUAUCUGGAGGAACACCGGUGGCGAAGGCGGCACCCUGGACCGGUAUUGACGCUGAGGCGCGAAAGCCAGGGGAGCAAACGGG